GACGAACGCUGGCGGCGUGCUUAACACAUGCAAGUCGAACGGAAAGGCCCUGCUUUUGUGGGGUUCUCGAGUGGCGAACGCGUGAGUAACACGUGAGUAACCUGCCCUUGACUUUGGGAUAACUUCAGGAAACUGGGGCUAAUACCGGAUAGGAGCUCCUGCUGCAUGGUGGGGGUUGGAAAGUUUCGGCGGUUGGGGAUGGACUCGCGGCUUAUCAGCUUGUUGGUGGGGGAGUGGCUUACCAAGGCUUUGACGGGUAGCCGGCCUGAGAGGGUGACCGGCCACAUUGGGACUGAGAUACGGCCCAGACUGCUACGGGAGGCAGCAGUGGGGAAUAUUGCACAAUGGGCGGAAGCCUGAUGCAGCAACGCCGCGUGCGGGAUGACGGCCUUCGGGUUGUAAACCGCUUUCGCCUGUGACGAAGCGUGAGUGACGGUAAUGGGUAAAGAAGCACCGGCUAACUACGUG
rnacentral:rRNA from 1 species